GACGAACGCUGGCGGCGUGCCUAAUACAUGCAAGUAGGACGCAGUUGCGCACGGGUGAGUAACGCGUAGGUAACUACCUAUUAGAGGGGGAUAACUAUUGGAAACGAUAGCUAAUACCGCAUACUAGUAGAUGGACCUGCGUUGUAUUAGGUAGUAGGUAGGGUAAUGGCCUACCUAGGCAACGAUACAUAGCCGACCUGGGGGGGUGAUCGGCCACAACGGGACUGGGACAAGGCCCAGACCCCUACGGGAGGCAACAGUAGGGAAUCUUCGGCAAUGGGGGGAACCCUUACCGGGGAACGCCGGGUGAGGGAAGAAGGUUUUCGGAUCGUAAAGCUUCGUUGUUAAGGAAGCGGUACUUAACCAGAAAGGGACGGCUAACUACGUGCCAGCAGCCGCGGUAAUAC
rnacentral:rRNA from 1 species